rnacentral:rRNA from 1 species
CCUACGGGUGGCAGCAGUGGGGGAUAUUGCACAAUGGGGGGAACCCUGAUGCAGCGACGCCGCGUGAGCGAUGAAGUAUUUCGGUAUGUAAAGCUCUAUCAGCAGGGAAGAAAAUGACGGUACCUGACUAAGAAGCCCCGGCUAACUACGUGCCAGCAGCCGCGGUAAUACGUAGGGGGCAAGCGUUAUCCGGAUUUACUGGGUGUAAAGGGAGCGUAGACGGCAGUGCAAGUCUGAAGUGAAAGGCAAGGGCUCAACCUUUGGACUGCUUUGGAAACUGUGCGGCUGGAGUGUAGGAGAGGUAAGUGGAAGUCCUAGUGUAGCGGUGAAAUGCGUAGAUAUUAGGAGGAACACCAGUGGCGAAGGCGGCUUACUGGACGGUGACUGACGUUGAGGCUCGAAAGCGUGGGGAGCAAACAGGAUUAGAUACCCCAGUAGUC